rnacentral:misc_RNA from 1 species
AUUUAAUUCUUCAAUAUCACCCCUUUGGUAAUUUGCCCUAGAAACCCUAAUACUAGAAGCCUCAACCCAAGUGGAGCAACCCGAAUAGGCAGAAGCUUCGCUGAACACUGGAGCAAGGAACCCGACUAGGCGGUGACUAGAGACAACAGCAAAUAGCUUAAUUAGAUGCAAGGAAGCCUUAUAUAGCAAGGAAAAACAGGCGGUAGAUGCAGCUCAAAGAAGACUUAACCUUGUUGAAAGAACCAUCUAUAGCCAAAGAAGGGCCCCAAUCUUCAGAAGAUCACUAGGCGACGGGUAAAGCUCUGUAGGUCUUCUCAGUCUCUUAUAACCAGUUGAGAGACUCACUGCUUCUCAGAUGGCAUCGGUAACGUCUCUCUGAGAUACCACACCCACAAACAGAACACAGUGAUCUCAAACCAAAGAUACCGCACACAUAGCCAGCAGAGCUCACCCUUCGCCAAGAGGAGGAACACUGGGCACAGAAGCAAAAGAAAGCUCAUGCUCCUCUCGGCUAAAGAUCGAUUUGAAACAAGCCAAGAACGCAACACAUCGUGGGUCACCAAAGUACCUCUCGCCAAAGACCCAAGAUGAGAGGCAACAAAACCCAUACGAUGUAAAAGAUCUCUAGAGCUAAACCCAAGUAGAUCCAUCUUCAUCCCUUUCUAAAAUUAGCACCGACCUUCAUGUAAAAGAAAAUCCAACAAAGUCUAUUUACAGCCCUGUCCAGAGGUGGGAAUAGAAAGACUCACUCUUUAGGCAGAGAAGAAAGCUGUCCCCUGUCCGAAAAGGGCAACUGAAGGCCAUCGAGUGCCAGAAAGGAACGACUGAACCGCAAGAAAGACAGAAAUUUGAGAGAAAUCUCUAUCUAAAGUUUCUCCCUUUAAGGAAAUUGUAGCAAAGCAGCAUGUACAAUUGGCUUAAUAAUUAGGACCCUGAAUUUGAA